UUGCUCACUUCAGCAGCACAUAUACUAAAAUUGGAAUACCAAGAAGAUUAGCAUAGCCCCUAUGCAAGGAUAAUAUGAAACUAGGAAUCUUGAUUGCAUAUAU
ensembl:snRNA U6 U6 spliceosomal RNA